UUGAUUCGAUUUUUAGAGUGAAUGACUUAUAUUGUGUUAUAUUUUAUUUUGUGUCAGUUAGUUUUGUCUCAACCGUACGGAUGGCCCAGGACCUGUGUGAAAGUAUUUACAGCCAGUUCAUGGAGCUGUCACUUACCCAGUCUGGCGAAUGCUGCAUUGAUCAUAUAUGCAACCGCUGCUGCAGCCAAGAGGCCCAGCCAUGCAUGCAGAAUCCCACCUGCCAUUUGUAAAGGAGGGCGUGUGUGUUUAUGUGCAUGCAUGUAAAACUGGAUGCUGUGCAUGUGUGAACUGGAUCAAAAUGCCUUCCUGAUUCAGGGAUACUGAGGUGUGUGCGCCGCUCCCUGCAUCUCCAUCUGUCUUACGAAGACGACUGCUGUGUGAUGAUAUAUCGGCUGUUGGAUUCUGCACGUAUGUGUCUGUAUAUGCGCACGAAGAAGCGAACGAAUGGAUCUUGAUUACAUUUGCAAGGCAUGAGCUGAAGUGAAGGUCUGAAUGAGAUGCUCGGUGCUCAGCGUUAAUGGCAUAGGAGCCUGAUGAUUCUCUGAAUGCAAGAGAAGCAUUUUCUUUUAUGUCAGUUGAUGGACUGGAGUCAUGUAUACCAG